rfam:Gamma proteobacterium HIMB55 ctg2504557020, whole genome shotgun sequence.
GCCGACCUGGUGUAUUUGCUAGACCGUCAGUCCUCGAGCCGAUAAUGCACCACCCGGAGAUUUCCACUUCUGGCUGUUGUGCAAGCCCGGCGCGACCGGGACGCCUGAUGCAGAAUGGGGAUCACCACCUUGAACCGCUACGGUUCAAGGGCGACACCGUCGGCGGUACUCUGGGUCACAC